rnacentral:lncRNA from 7 species
GUUUACGCCUUCACACUUCCGGCCGGCGGUCGGUCCGGGUCCGGGUUGUGUCGCGUGGCUGAGGGGCGGCUGCCGUGGGGGCUUCGCACCGCGGGUCGGCGGCUCUCGGAGUUCUGCAGCUCCCGCAGCGCGUCCCGUCCCGUCCGGUCCGGUCCCGUUCCGUCCGUCCGUCCGUCCGUCCGUCCCGCCGCGCUGAGAGCUUCGCGGAGCUGCGCCGGUGGCAGCGGGAGCGCUGUGGCGUCAUCAGAACGCGCGAACUGCAAAAGCAUUGGAGAGAAGUUGGAUCGCAUCAAGGGUGCAUGUUUUUGGAUGCUGCUUCGGAUUUCCUACGCUCCUGGCAAGAGCUGCCUUCACUCCUUCUCCAACGGCCUCGAUCCCCGAAAUCUCCUUUUGGAAAGGAGCCCUACAGAAAGAAUCAGCACAUGAAAAAUAAUGAGGAAUAAGCAUUUUGCCAGCUUUCUUC